AUGCGGCGCGGCCGAAGAAGGGCAAAACAUCCGCGAAGAAGAACAAGGCGGCGGACGGCUCCGGCAACACGAAGGCAAGGGGAAAGAAGCUUGCAGGGCGUUCGACGGCCGCGGCGGCUGCCAAAGCGCCGGCGAGCUCACUCGUUGGGCCGGCCGCCGACGCGCACCACGUGUUCGACGAAAUGCCCCCAAGGUGAAAAAAAAUUCCAACUUUUCUUUUCUUGUUAUUUUUUCAAUGCAUCAUCACAUAUAGAUAGCUUAUUUGCAUUGUUCAAAAAACUUUGUAGUCUCAACGAUGAUGCAUACAUGUCAACUAUGGGUGUUGGGUCCAACAAUUCGCAUUGGUCUUAAACCAAUGACAUCCAUUUUGAAGACCAUGAGUUUGAGGUGGACGAGGAGGGUGAGGGCAUUGUCGAGGCGCCGAAAGGAAGAGCGGGCAAUUACACCACAAACGAUGACAAGUUACUAUGCUAUACUUAUUUGCAAGUGCCGAGGGAUCCAUUCAUUGGAGGUGAUCAAAGUAGAGACGCGUAUUGGGGGCGAAUGAAAGAACACUUUCAUGCUCACAACGUGAGUGGAAUUGACCGCUCCGAGAGCUCACUUCGGUCCCGAUGGUCGACAAUCAACUCGGAUUGUCAAAAGUGGGCGGCCGCAUAA
rnacentral:rRNA from 1 species